rnacentral:rRNA from 2 species
GGAGGAAAAGAAACCAACAGGGAUUGCCUCAGUAACGGCGAGUGAAGCGGCAAGAGCUCAACUUUGGAAUCGCUGCGGCGAGUUGUAGUCUGGAGGUGGCCGGUCCCGGCGCCAGCGCGCAGCCAAGUCCUUUGGAACAAGGCGCCUGAGAGGGUGACAGCCCCGUGGCAGUUUGUGCUGGUGCCGCCUCGGCCCACCGACGAGUCGAGUUGUUUGGGAAUGCAGCUCUAAGUGGGUGGUAAAUUCCAUCUAAAGCUAAAUACCGGCGAGAGACCGAUAGCGAACAAGUACAGUAAUGGAAAGAUGAAAAGCACUUUGAAAAGAGAGUGAAACAGUACGUGAAAUUGUUGAAAGGGAAGGGCUUGCACCCAGACACGGCCUUCUGGCCGGGCCAGCAUCGGGUGGGAGGGAGCGACAACGAGCAGUCGAUGUAGUACAGCCCUCUGGGCUGUGCAUUAUACGUCUUGCUUUCUGGCUCCUCUCCCGCCCGAGGACCGCAGCAAUAAGGAUGCUGGCGCAAUGGUUGCAAGCCACCCGUCUUGA